rnacentral:misc_RNA from 1 species
AGCAGCCGCGGUAAUUCCAGCUCCAAUAGCGUAUAUUAAAGUUGUUGCAGUUAAAAAGCUCGUAGUUGAAUUUCGGGACCAAUUUGUUGGUCGUGCCUCGGUACGUACUGGUAUUAUUGGUUUCUCCCUUCUGAAGAACCUCGAUGCCAUUAAUUUGGUGUCGUGGGGAAUCAGGACUGUUACUUUGAAAAAAUUAGAGUGUUUAAAGCAAGCAUACGCUUGAAUACAUUAGCAUGGAAUAAUGAAAUAGGACGUUUGAUUCUAUUUUGUUGGUUUCUAGGAUCGACGUAAUGAUUAAUAGGGAUAGUUGGGGGCAUUAGUAUUCAAUUGUCAGAGGUGAAAUUCUUGGAUUUAUUGAAGACUAACUACUGCGAAAGCAUUUGCCAAGGAUGUUUUCAUUAAUCAAGAACGAAAGUUAGGGGAUCGAAGACGAUCAGAUACCGUCGUAGUCUUAACCAUAAACUAUGCCGACUAGGGAUCGGAUGAUGUUAAUUUUUUUAAUGACUCAUUCGGCGCCUUA